rnacentral:rRNA from 1 species
CAGUAGCCGCGGUAACACGGAGGGAGCUAGCGUUGUUCGGAAUUACUGGGCGUAAAGCGCGCGUAGGCGGUUACUCAAGUCAGAGGUGAAAGCCCGGGGCUCAACCCCGGAACUGCCUUUGAAACUAGGUGACUAGAAUCUUGGAGAGGUCAGUGGAAUUCCGAGUGUAGAGGUGAAAUUCGUAGAUAUUCGGAAGAACACCAGUGGCGAAGGCGACUGACUGGACAAGUAUUGACGCUGAGAUGCGAAAGCGUGGGGAGCAAACAGGAUUAGAUACCCGUGUAGUCCCUGUCUCUUAUAC